rnacentral:rRNA from 1 species
AUUGAACGCUGGCGGAAUGCUUUACACAUGCAAGUCGAACGGCAGCACGGACUUCGGUCUGGUGGCGAGUGGCGAACGGGUGAGUAAUACAUCGGAACGUGCCCAGUCGUGGGGGAUAACGUAGCGAAAGCUACGCUAAUACCGCAUACGAUCUACGGAUGAAAGCGGGGGAUCGCAAGACCUCGCGCGAUUGGAGCGGCCGAUAUCAGAUUAGGUAGUUGGUGAGGUAAAGGCUCACCAAGCCGACGAUCUGUAGCCGGUCUGAGAGGACGACCAGCCACACUGGGACUGAGACACGGCCCAGACUCCUACGGGAGGCAGCAGUGGGGAAUUUUGGACAAUGGACGCAAGUCUGAUCCAGCCAUUCCGCGUGCAGGACGAAGGCCUUCGGGUUGUAAACUGCUUUUGUACAGAACGAAAAGGUCUCUAUUAAUACUAGGGGCUCAUGACGGUACUGUAAGAAUAAGCACCGGCUAACUACGUGCCAGCCGCCGCGGUAA